ensembl:lncRNA
GUGAGAACAGCCUUCAGCACUCAGCCAUCCGGCCUCCUCACGCCCCACUGUUACCCAGGCAACACGCCCUGCGCAGCCAUUGGCCAGCGCCUCACCGGGCCCCACCCACAAGGAGCACGCCCAGUCCUGCUCAGCUCUGGGUGGGGCCGCAGCGGGCCUGCCCGCAGGUAACGAGCUGCCGAGGAGGGGCUGUGAGUGAGGGGAUGCGGCCAAUAGCUGGUCAUCAGGUGGACAGUGAGUGAGAGGCAGCUUCAGGCCUCCUCCCGGAAGCCCUCCGGCUCACCUCAACUUGGGCCAGCGGCGCUGGGGGCCCAGGUAUUCUGCUCGAUUCCCACCUCCUAAAGAACCCUCUGGAAAACAAUAUUCCUGUGAGAUAGUUGAGCAACCUCUGAAAGAACACUUUAUUUCCGAUUUUUAUCGCCUCUUAUACAAUAAACUCCAUUUAUCCGUUUCGCUUCUUCGGCAGAGAGUGGGGAGGAGAGGAAAAGGUGGGGAUACAGACACGCAUCUCGUGGGGCACUAUGGCUCUGCCGCCUGCACAACCACAGUGCUUAGAGAACCAAACCUCUAGAGGAACGUGGAACUCUCAUUCCUAGAAUAAUAUCACCACACACACAACCACACAGAGAAACCCCAAAACGUGUCAUUCUGCGCUGUUCUGGAUAUGGGAGAGUCCUGUUUGUGAGCAUAAUGGUGAUGACGGUGGUUUAAUCACUAAGU